CCUACNGGACGCACCAGUGGGGAAUAUUGCACAAUGGGCGCAAGCCUGAUGCAGCCAUGCCGCGUGUAUGAAGAAGGCCUUCGGGUUGUAGAGUACUUUCAGCGGGAANGAAGGCGAUAAGNUUAAUAACCUUGUCGAUUGACGUUACCCGCAGAAGAAGCACCGGCUAACUCCGUGCCAGCAGCCGCGGUAACACGGAGGGUGCAAGCGUUAAUCGGAAUUACUGGGCGUAAAGCGCACGCAGGCGGUCUGUCAAGUCGGAUGUGAAAUCCCCGGGCUCAACCUGGGAACUGCAUUCGAAACUGGCAGGCUAGAGUCUUGUAGAGGGGGGUAGAAUUCCAGGUGUAGCGGUGAAAUGCGUAGAGAUCUGGAGGAAUACCGGUGGCGAAGGCGGCCCCCUGGACGAAGACUGACGCUCAGGUGCGAAAGCGUGGGGAGCAAACAGGAUUAGAUACCCUAGUAGUC
rnacentral:rRNA from 1 species